GAUGAACGCUAGCUACAGGCUUAACACAUGCAAGUCGCGGGGCAGCAUGGGGGUUGCUUGCAACUCCCGAUGGCGACCGGCGCACGGGUGAGUAACGCGUAUCCAACCUGCCCUUCACCACGGGAUAACCCGGCGAAAGUCGGACUAAUACCGUAUGUUGUCCAUUGACGGCAUCCGAUUUGGACGAAAGGCUUUGCGGUGAAGGAUGGGGAUGCGUCCGAUUAGCCAGACGGCGGGGUAACGGCCCACCGUGGCUACGAUCGGUAGGGGUUCUGAGAGGAAGGUCCCCCACACUGGAACUGAGACACGGUCCAGACUCCUACGGGAGGCAGCAGUGAGGAAUAUUGGUCAAUGGGCGUAAGCCUGAACCAGCCAAGUAGCGUGCAGGAUGACGGCCCUAUGGGUUGUAAACUGCUUUUAUGCGGGGAUAAAGUGGCCCACGUGUGGGCUUUUGCAGGUACCGCAUGAAUAAGGACCGGCUAAGUCCGUG
rnacentral:rRNA from 1 species